ACGUGAAAUUCCGUCGGAAUCCGGGAGGACCAUCUCCCAAGGCUAAAUACUCCCUAGUGACCGAUAGUGAACCAGUACCGUGAGGGAAAGGUGAAAAGCACCCCGGAAGGGGAGUGAAACAGUUCCUGAAACCGUGUGCCUACAAGUAGUUAGAGCCCGUUAAUGGGUGAUAGCGUGCCUUUUGUAGAAUGAACCGGCGAGUUACGAUUUGUUGCAAGGUUAAGCGGAAAAAGCGGAGCCGUAGCGAAAGCGAGUCUGAAUAGGGCGCAUAAGUAACAGGUCGUAGACCCGAAACCAGGUGAUCUACCCAUGUCCAGGAUGAAGGUAAGGUAAUACUUACUGGAGGUCCGAACCCACGCACGUUGAAAAGUGCGGGGAUGAGGUGUGGGUAGCGGAGAAAUUCCAAUCGAACUUGGAGAUAGCUGGUUCUCUCCGAAAUAGCUUUAGGGCUAGCCUCGAGGUAAAGAGUCAUGGAGGUAGAGCACUGUUUGGACUAGGGGCCCUUCUCGGGUUACCGAAUUCAGAUAAACUCCGAAUGCCAUGUACUUAUACUCGGGAGUCAGACUGCGAGUGAUAAGAUCCGUAGUCGAAAGGGAAACAGCCCAGACCACCAGUUAAGGUCCCCAAAUAUAUGUUAAGUGGAAAAGGAUGUGGGGUUGCUUAGACAACCAGGAUGUUGGCUUAGAAGCAGCCACCAUUGAAAGAGUGCGUAAUAGCUCACUGGUCGAGUGACCCCGCGCCGAAAAUGUACCGGGGCUAAACAUAUUACCGAAACUGUGGAUGAACCUCUUUAGAGGUUCGUGGUAGGAGAGCGUUCUAAGGGCGGUGAAGUCAGACCGGAAGGACUGGUGGAGCGCUUAGAAGUGAGAAUGCCGGUAUGAGUAGCGAAAGAAGGGUGAGAAUCCCUUCCACCGAAUAUCUAAGGUUUCCUGAGGAAGGCUCGUCCGCUC
rnacentral:rRNA from 1 species